UCGAGAAUUUUUGACAAUGGGGGAAACCCUGAUCGAGCGACGCCGCGUGGAGGAUGAAGGUCUUCGGAUUGUAAACUCCUGUCAUUGGGGAACAAGGUGCAUACGUUAACUGCGUGUGCAUUGAUAGUACCCGAAGAGGAAGAGACGGCUAACUCUGUGCCAGCAGCCGCGGUAAUACAGAGGUCUCAAGCGUUGUUCGGAUUCAUUGGGCGUAAAGGGUGCGUAGGCGGCGCGGUAAGUCGGGUGUGAAAUCUCGGAGCUUAACUCCGAAACUGCAUUCGAUACUGCCGUGCUUGAGGACUGGAGAGGAGACUGGAAUUUACGGUGUAGCGGUGAAAUGCGUAGAUAUCGUAAGGAAGACCAGUGGCGAAGGCGGGUCUCUGGACAGUUCCUGACGCUGAGGCACGAAGGUCAGGGGAGCAAACG
rnacentral:rRNA from 1 species